UGGUUCUGGCAUCGAUGAAGAACGCAGCGAAAUGCGAUAAGUAAUGUGAAUUGCAGAAUUCAGUGAAUCAUCGAAUCUUUGAACGCACAUUGCGCCCCCUGGUAUUCCGAGGGGCAUGCCUGUUCGAGCGUCAUUACAACCCUCAAGCCUGGCUUGGUAUUGAGCUUCGCUAUUUAUCUAGCGGGCUUAAAAAUCAGUGGCAGUAUCGUCGAGGUCCUGAGCGUAGUAAAUCUCCUCGCUAUAGAAACCCGGCACUUACUCGCCAUCAAUACCAACUUUCUUAGUUUGACCUCGGAUCAGGUAGGGAUACCCGCUGA
rnacentral:misc_RNA from 1 species